GGUCUAUCAUCGGGGGCUCCAAUCCCUGGACCU
rnacentral:tRNA from 1 species